rnacentral:rRNA from 1 species
AACGAACGCUGGCGGCAGGCCUAACACAUGCAAGUCGAACGAGGUAGCAAUACCUAGUGGCGCACGGGUGAGAAACGCGUGGGAAUCUCCCUUCUAGUACGGGAUAACACCGGGAAACUGGUGCUAAUACCGUAUGACCCCUCCGGGGGAAAGAUUUAUCGCUAGAAGAUGAGCCCGCGUAAGAUUAGCUAGUUGGUGAGGUAACGGCUCACCAAGGCUACGAUCUUUAGCUGGUCUUAGAGGACGAUCAGCCACACUGGAACUGAGACACGGUCCAGGCUCCUACGGAAUGCAGCAGUGGGGAAUCUUGGACAAUGUGGGAAACCCUGAUCCAGCCAUGCCGCGUGAGUGAUGAAGGCCUUCGGGUUGUAAAGCUCUUUUGUGUGGGAAGAUAAUGACUGUACCACAAGAAUAAGCCCCGGCUAACUUCGUGCCAGCAGCCGCGGUAA